UACGGAGGAUGCAAGCGUUAUCCGGAAUUAUUGGGCGUAAAGCGUCCGCAGGUGGCACUUCAAGUCUGUCGUCAAAGACUGGGGCUUAACCCUGGAAAGGCGGUGGAAACUGAAGCGCUAGAGUGCGGUAGGGGUAGAGGGAAUUCCCGGUGUAGCGGUGAAAUGCGUAGAGAUCGGCAGGAACACCCAGGGGGAAACCAGCCGCCUGGGCAUGCGCUGACGCUGAGGUGCGAGAGCGUGGGGAGCGAACCGG
rnacentral:rRNA from 1 species